GUGGGGAAUCUUCCGCAAUGGACGAAAGUCUGACGGAGCGACGCCGCGUGAGUGAAGAAGGCCUUCGGGUCGUAAAGCUCUGUCAUCAGGGACGAACGGCCGGUGGAGUGGAAAGCCACCGGAUUGACGGUACCUGAGAAGGAAGCCACGGCUAACUACGUGCCAGCAGCCGCGGUAAUACGUAGGUGGCAAGCGUUGUCCGGAAUUAUUGGGCGUAAAGCGCGCGCAGGUGGGAUCUUAAGUCCAUUUUUAAAGUUCGGAGCUCAACUCCGUGAUGGGAUGGAAACUGGGAUUCUUGAGUACCGGAGAGGAAAGUGGAAUUCCAAGUGUAGCGGUGAAAUGCGUAGAGAUUUGGAAGAACACCAGUGGCGAAGGCGACUUUCUGAACGAUGUCUGACGCUGAGGCGCGAAAGCUAGGGGAGCGAACGGGAUUAGAAACCCCUGUAGUCC
rnacentral:rRNA from 1 species